UAUUAAGCUACUACCACUAUCACUACUAUAAAAGAAAAAAGAAAGGAAAAAAAAAAAGCACACACAAGAUCCAAAAUGAAAACCUUCCAAAACAUUCCUCCUCCCACCACCCAACUCCAACAAACCACAGGGAGACACAUUUGGACCCUUCAAUAUAAUCAAUACUAAGUCCAUCAGGGGAGAGAGUAGUCUCCCUUGCACCACAGACCCCCAGGAAACACAGCUGCCACUCCUUGUGUUUCCAUGUCACACAUGGCACCGCCUGGAGAAAAAAGUUUGCCAGUGUGACCCUCUCCUUUCCAUGCACAGUGCUCUCACCACCGAUGCAUGGAUGGACAGACUGCUUUUAGGAUUUUUUCCUUUCAAGGAUACUCUGCCAAGAGGGAAAAAACAACAGUUCAGUUUUUCAUUUUUUGGGACCAUAGUCCCCCCCAUUUUCUUCCUCCCCUGGGGCCGAGGGUCUCAGGAACAGAGAUCUUCUCUUCUUCUUCUCUGAAGACGGGGGGCACCACCACAAACCUCCCCAACUUUUCUCUGUUCGCUCCACUCCUGUGUUUUCCUCAGCUGCUGAAGCAGGUCUCUUGGCUCACCAGCAUCGUCCUAAAAUACAGUCUCUCUCUUGGAGGAGAAAAUCAGUUCAGUCUAUGGCUAACAAGAAAAAGUCCAGCCAGAAGCCACUCCAUCAUCUCCUUCCACCCAGAAUUUCUCCUUCUAACAUCUCGGGUCCCAGGCUGUCUCUCUUCCUCUCUUUCAAGCCGAGGAGGAGUAAAGUUUCACAAAGCUUUCAUUUCUCAAGGGAGGGUUAAAAGUCCCGACUCCCUGGCUGGCUCUCUGCCCCCAUCUCCAGUCCAGCUCCCACGCUGGCACCUUGGGGCCCUGGGCCCCCCCCGCUCUCCUCCUUCCCCGCGGUACUGCUGGCAGACCGUCACUGUCUCUUUCGAGAGAGAGACUCUGGGGGGGAAUGGAGACAUCCCAGAUGUUUUCCACCCUUCCAUCUGCAGGGGCCAGCCCGGUUCCAGUCCCUCCACCCUUCGGCCUUACCUCAGCCAGGCCUCGGGCCUUCCCCUCCCCUGCCCAGCGAAGAGCCGGGCAGGGGAGAGUCCCGCACUGCACCCUGACCGGAACCAAAGAGAGCGAGUUCCCCUGGGAAUUCUGCUUUUAACCCCUCUGUGUUCUCAGAGGCGUGUCCACCCUCCAUUGGUCACCCUAAGUGUCAAUAUCCAAAUUGACCUCUUCCUUCCAAGAAGAUUCUUUUUCCGUGUCAAACCACGACAAUAG
rnacentral:lncRNA from 1 species